GAUGAACGCUGGCGGCGUGCCUAAUACAUGCAAGUCGAGCGAAGAGACGAGGAUCUUGUUCCUCUGACGUUAGGGGCGGACGGGGGAGUCACAGGUGGAUAACCUCCCUUUAAGUCGGGGAUAACUUGGGGAAACCGGAGCAAAUACCGGGUAAUAUAUUGAAACGCAUGGUGCAAUAGAGCAAUACGGUUUUUCUGUUUUUUUUAGGUGGAUCCGCCUCGUAUUAGUUAGUAGGGAAGGGAACGGCCUAUCAAGGCAACGAUGGGGAGGUGACCUGAGAGGGUGGUCGGCCACACUGGAACUGAGACACGGCCCAGACUCCUACGGGAAGGAGCAGUAGGGAAUCUUCCGCAAUGGGCGGAAGCCUGGCGGAGCCACACCGCGUGAGUGAUGAAGGUCUUCGGAUCGUAAAGCUCUGUUAUUAGGGAAGAACAAAUGUGUAAGUAACUAUGCACGUCUUGACGGUACCUAGUCAGAAAGCCACGGCUAACUACGUG
rnacentral:rRNA from 1 species